rnacentral:rRNA from 1 species
AUGCGCCGAAGGUUAGGCGUGCCCCGUCGCUCUGGGAUGCUCAGGCAAGCGCUGCAUGUUGUCGCAUUCCAAAGCAAGGAGAAGAUUGCUUCCAAAGUGGACUAUUUGAAGAAUACGUUCAGGUGGUCUGAUGCUGAAGUGAGCAUUGUUGUGCGCAAGUAUCCGGGUCUGCUGAGGAAGUCAAAGGAAUCUCUGAAGCACAGGUCUGAGUUCCUGUGCUCUAAGGUGGGGCUGGAACCCGUGUACAUUGCUCAUUGA